CAGCCGCCGCGGGAAUACGUAGGUGGCAAGCGUUGUCCGGAAUUAUUGGGCGUAAAGGGCUCGCAGGCGGUUUCUUAAGUCUGAUGUGAAAGCCCCCGGCUCAACCGGGGAGGGUCAUUGGAAACUGGGAAACUUGAGUGCAGAAGAGGAGAGUGGAAUUCCACGUGUAGCGGUGAAAUGCGUAGAGAUGUGGAGGAACACCAGUGGCGAAGGCGACUCUCUGGUCUGUAACUGACGCUGAGGAGCGAAAGCGUGGGGAGCGGACAGGAUUAGAUACCCCUGUAGUCCCUGUCUCUUAUAA
rnacentral:rRNA from 1 species